rnacentral:rRNA from 1 species
UAGAGUUUGAUCCUGGCUCAGAUUGAACGCUGGCGGCAGGCCUAACACAUUCAAGUCGAGCGGUAACAUUUCUAGCUUGCUAGAAGAUGACGAGCGGCGGACGGGUGAGUAAUGCUUGGGAACAUGCCUUGAGGUGGGGGACAACCAUUGGAAACGAUGGCUAAUACCGCAUAAUGUCUACGGACCAAAGGGGGCUUCGGCUCUCGCCUUUAGAUUGGCCCAAGUGGGAUUAGCUAGUUGGUAAGGUAACGGCUYACCAAGGCGACGAUCCCUAGCUGGUUUGAGAGGAUGAUCAGCCACACUGGAACUGAGACACGGUCCAGACUCCUACGGGAGGCAGCAGUGGGGAAUAUUGCACAAUGGGCGCAAGCCUGAUGCAGCCAUGCCGCGUGUGUGAAGAAGGCCUUCGGGUUGUAAAGCACUUUCAGUCAGGAGGAAAGGUUAGUAGUUAAUACCUGC